rnacentral:rRNA from 1 species
CUCCGGUUGAUCCUGCCGGACCCGACUGCUAUCAGAGUGGGACUAAGCCAUGCGAGUCAACGUAGCAAUACGUGGCAUACGGCUCAGUAACACGUAGUCAACAUGCCCAGGGGACGAGGAUAACCUCGGGAAACUGAGGAUAAACCUCGAUAGGCCAUGAUUUCUGGAAUGAUUCUUGGCUCAAACCUAUAUGGCCCCUGGAUUGGACUGCGGCCGAUCAGGCUGUUGGUGAGGUAAUGGCCCACCAAACCUAUUACCGGUACGGGCUCUGAGAGGAGGAGCCCGGAGAUGGGCACUGAGACAAGGGCCCAGGCCCUAUGGGGCGCAGCAGGCGCGAAACCUCUGCAAUAGGCGAAAGCUUGACAGGGUUACUCUGAGUGAUUUCCGCUAAGGGAAUCUUUUGGCACCUCUAAAAAUGGUGCAGAAUAAGGGGUGGGCAAGUCUGGUGUCAGCCGCCGCGGUAAUACCAGCACCCCGAGUGGUCGGGACGAUUAUUGGGCCUAAAGCAUCCGUAGCCGGUCCUGCAAGUCUUCCGUUAAAUCCAGCUGCUCAACAGAUGGGCUGCGGGAGAUACUACAGGGCUAGGAGGCGGGAGAGGCAAGCGGUACUUUAUGGGUAGGGGUAAAAUCCGCUGAUCCAUAGAAGACCACCAGUGGCGAAGGCGGCUUGCCAGAACGCGCUCGACGGUGAGGGAUGAAAGCUGGGGGAGCAAACCGGAUUAGAUACCCGGGUAGUCCCAGCUGUAAACGAUGCAGACUCGGUGAUGGGUUGGCCUCGCGCCUGCCCAGUGCCGCAGGGAAGCCGUUAAGUCUGCCGCCUGGGGAGUACGGUCGCAAGACUGAAACUUAAAGGAUUGGCGGGGGAGCA